GUCGUUCGUUCUCGUUACGUACCAUAGAUGGCGCGAUCGUUUAUCGAUCGAUUGGUAAAAAAAAGAAUGUAAUAACUCAUUAUAUCGCUUAUUCCGAAAGUUGGCGUAACGAUAAAAAAGAAGACGAUCGAUUUUUAUAUCGACCAUUUAAUAUUUCCCACGCGUCGAAGAGAAGAUGUAUCGUUCACAAAAGAAGAAAAACCGUAUCAAAAUUCGUGUCGAUUCAUUUCGUUUUCACCCUAGUGUGUGUAACUACGAGGUCACGUGCUCGACGGAAAUGGACGUACGAAAGGAAAUUGCGAUUUUCAAAAAGAGGCAAAGACCACUCGCGUAGGAGAAGGAAGAGGAUCUUUUCUUCGUUUCUAUGCUUGUUCCAUAGAAAGGAAGACCGAACAGGUAGCAGGUGCGCGAGUUCGACUCACAGACUCGGCGCCGCUCUUCGUCGGCUCGCCGUGUGCGAGGGAGUUCUGACUGGCCUGUGCGGUCCUUCCACCACUACGGCACACUGCUACCACUACCACUACUACCGCCACCACCACACCACGACGACGCUACUA